GACGAACGCUGGCGGCGUGCUUAACACAUGCAAGUCGAACGAAGUGGCGAACGGGAGAGGAAUAUGUCGGUAACCUGCCCUACUCUUUGGGGUAAGCCUUGGAAACGGGGUCUAAUAUCGAAUCAGGGGGAUGGGCUCGUGGACUAUCAGCCUGUUGGUGGGGUGAUGGCCUACCAAGGCGGUGACGGGGAGCCGGCCUGAUAGGGUGACCGGCCACAAUGGGACUGAGACACGGCCCAGAAUCCUACGGGAGGCAGCAGUGGGGAAUCUUCCGCAAUGGACGAAAGUCUGACGGAGCAACGCCGCGUGAGGUAUGACGGCCUUCGGGUUGUAAAGCUCUGUUAAUCGGGACGCGGUACCGGAAUAGAAAGCCACGGCUAACUACGUGCCAGCAGCCGCGGUAAUAC
rnacentral:rRNA from 1 species